AAUUGGACAAUUUAGGUUCGUACGAAGUUCGAUCUGAAAUGGAGUGGUUGGUGUAUUGCAUAGUGCUAGAGAUUGGAUUUCACUCAAAACCCACCAAAUGACUCCGCCCACCAUAUUAUGAUCUUCCCCAAGUUUUGGACUCAUUUCGAUAUCGAUUGGUCCAUGAAAUUGGACACUUCAGGUUCGUACGAAGUUCGUUAUGAAAUGGAGUGGUUGGUAUAUUGCAUAGUUCUAGAGAUUGGAUUUCACUCAAAACCCAACAACGGACUCCCC
rnacentral:lncRNA from 1 species